UACGUAGGGGGCGAGCGUUGUCCGGAAUUACUGGGCGUAAAGGGUGCGUAGGUGGCAAUUUAAGUUGGAUGUGAAAUCCCCGGGCUUAACCUGGGUGGUGCAUUCAAAACUGGAUAGCUAGAGUGCAGGAGAGGGAAGCGGAAUUCCUAGUGUAGCGGUGAAAUGCGUAGAUAUUAGGAGGAACACCAGUGGCGAAGGCGGCUUUCUGGACUGUAACUGACACUGAGGCACGAAAGCGUGGGGAG
rnacentral:rRNA from 1 species